rnacentral:rRNA from 1 species
UAUCAGUAUUAAUCGGUUUAUUUCUUUCCGGCUGAAUAUUUUACAACCCUAACGCCUUCUUCACUCCCGCGGCAUGGCUGGAUCAGGGUUGCCCCCAUUGUCCAAAAUUCCCCACUGCUGCCUCCCGCAGG